AUGAACGCUGGCGGCGUGCCUAAUACAUGCAAGUCGAGCGAACGGACGAGAAGCUUGCUUCUCUGAUGUUAGCGGCGGACGGGUGAGUAACACGUGGAUAACCUACCUAUAAGACUGGGAUAACUUCGGGAAACCGUAGCUAAUACCGGAUAAUAUUUUGAACCGCACGGUUCAAAAGUGAAAGACGGUCUUGCUGUCACUUAUAGAUGGAUCCGCGCUGCAUUAGCUAGUUGGUAAGGUAACGGCUUACCAAGGCAACGAUGCAUAGCCGACCUGAGAGGGUGAUCGGCCACACUGGAACUGAGACACGGUCCAGACUCCUACGGGAGGCAGCAGUAGGGAAUCUUCCGCAAUGGGCGAAAGCCUGACGGAGCAACGCCGCGUGAGUGAUGAAGGUCUUCGGAUCGUAAAACUCUGUUAUUAGGGAAGAACAUAUGUGUAAGUAACUGUGCACAUCUUGACGGUACCUAAUCAGAAAGCCACGGCUAACUACGUG
rnacentral:rRNA from 1 species